CAUUUAUGUCUAAACAACUUAUGCGGUUCUUCCUGGAUUUUUAGUUAAGAUAUCCGUGGAAGAAUUUAGAGUUCUCAUCACCAUCAAUGGACCAUUUCAUUCCAAAUUUCUGUCUUAAGUCUAGAACCCUCUUUCUCUCAUACUCCAAUAUUUUUUGUACACCUUCAUUCCUUUCACUGAGUUCAAAUUCACUCAAUGACCUUACUUCUGCCUUAGCUUCUAUACUUUCAAUUCGUGAUUUGAGUGCCUCAAUUUCCUGGUUUUCUAUCUUGUAUUUUUCAUUUCUCCAUCUUCUUAAAGCUUGUUUUAGGAAUUUGAAUUUUGCCAGUAGUUGUCUAUCUGCCAUUCCAUAACCCCUGAAAUUGCUCCAAGUCGUGUGUACUACAUCUUCAAUACCAUCCAUGAGUAACCAAGAGUUAAAAAAUUUAAAAGGAGGCGGGCCAAAUUUCACCACCGCAUUGGAAGAUAGAGAGAUCGGAGAGUGGUCAGAGAGCUCUCUUGGACGGGCAAUCACAGAAGCAUUAGAGUUAUUUUUUAGGUACUUAGCACAAGCCAAAAACCUGUCUAGUCUAAUUUGCUGAGCUUUGCCCCGUUACGCCCAAAGUACAUGAAUUUUGAGCCACCCAUAUUGAAGUCAUGAAGUUUGGUUUGGAUUAUGAAUUUGUUGAAGUAUGUUGCAGUUUUUAAGAAGAAAUGGGAAUUGAGUCUCUCACCUUUUCUAAGAACCACAUUGAAGUCCCCAAAAGGAGUCAUGAACCCACUUUGGUUUGUAUCAAACCGUUUCAUUCCAUCCAUUGGAUAGCUUUAUUCGUCGCCGAUUGAGGACCAUAAAUGUUAGCUAAUAUGGUAUAUCCCUGUAUGCCAACCCAAUCACCAACAAUUAUCAAGUAAUACCUCGAUUUUAAGACCUCCACUUUUUUGAAAAAGUUUGCAUCCUAAAUACAGAGCAGACCAUGAGAUCUUCCAUGUGAAUCUAUACCUUCAUAGUCAAAGUCGGCGGAGUCCCAACACCCACGGAUGUUGAUACAUUUAGAAUCAAACAUCCAAGUUUCUUGAAUUCCGACAAAAUUAAUUUUCAAUGAUUCUUUAAGCCUCCUUACCCAACUUGUUUUCACAUCUUCACCUAUCCCCCUUAUGUUUUAAGUUGAAACAAUUCAUUGUAUAUCGUGUGACUCUCCGAUUUCACCCAUAAUUUGCGCCAAGAUCGGGUUAUCGACCUCAAUUUUGAUCCCAAUCUUUUUACCGACAUCGAUGGUUGCAGUAAACUCGAAGGUGGGAGAUGUAGUUCUAGCUUGUGAUGUAUCAUGGUGGGAGUCUGUAUGAGGGGGAAAUUUGUUUGACGUAGGAAUAAAUAGUGUAGGGGAAAGAAUCGAAGGAGUUGCCAAGGGGGUAGCCACUAUAUGAGGAGGAGUAGGUACAAUCGAAAAAUUUAAGAUGUUCUCUAUUCUUCUACGCUUUAGCCUACCAUCGUUGAUUAGAUUGAAUUCAAGUCUGGGAAAAAGUUGUUUACCUUAUUGAAUGCUCUAAGGGGAUGUCUGGCUUAGCUUUUCAAAGCCUAAAAGUUUUUUUUAGAAAAGUUACAAAAAGUCCGGAUUUCCUAACUUUUCCAAAAAGUUCAUUUUCCUUAUGUAAAAACUUCAAAAGUAGCUUUUAAAACUAGUUUUGCCAGACAUCUUUUGCUAUUUUUUCUUUUCCAAAAAUGACUUUUGGCUGUGAAAACCUAAGCCAAACACCGGUAAAUAUAGAAGGAAAAGGCCCAAAGCAUGAAGUGGGAAACGGAAUGUUCGAAUUGCAGAGCCUAUAAUUAAAUCCCUUAGGCCCACCAGGGAGUGAAUCCCCCAUACCUUUAUGAGCUUUAUCCCCUGUAAAUUGACCAUUGAAGCCGCAGUUAAGAUCCCCGAGUUCCAACUCGAUCUCUUGUGUUUCCGAGGUGAUUGAAUUGAUGAGUGGCGAUACCACUUCCUCCACUGUUACCGGAGCAUCAAUGGUUGGUGCUUCAACUGUCGUCGUCAACACCGUCGCCGGGACUGCCACCUCCGAUUACAGUACCUGCUCGGUAUUUUUCAUUCACCGGUGUAACCUCUUUCUCCGACGAUAGCGGAGUUUCAUUCUCAUUACGUUCAUCUGGUAUAAAUUCCCCAUCUUCUGGUUCGUUAUCGUCUCAAUCAUCCGUCGUGUGUGUAUCUGAGUUGUUAGUCUUUUCUUCACCUCAUGGUACCGGAGGCGAGGCUUUUUUGUUCCAAGAGCCAUACGGGAACGGGCCGGAGCUGAACGGAGACCAUUCGUCGAUGUAUUCCAUGACUCUAAUUUUAAACAUUCUGCCUCCUUCUAUCACAGAUACUUCCUCGUUUAUCCAUACUUUCAAAGUUGUAAGAAUCCCCACCUUACCCAUAGAGUUGUCGGUUUUGUGAAUAAUACUUUCCCAAACUUACUGGAAAUAUCAGAGAAAUUGGAUUCGUCCCAGAACUCUCUUGGUAGGCCAACAAUCUUUAGCCAUGCGAUUCGGUUGAACGAGACCUCCGUUAAGUAAGCUCUUCAUAACCAUUUGAACCAGCCAUCCCAUUUGUUCUUAUCUUCCAAGAACUUUGCAACAUCACCCCGAGUAUUUCAAUUGUAUAACAACCUUUAGUCCUGUUUGUUUACCUUUUAAUUUCAUAAUUAAGAGGCAAUGUCUUAAAAUUUCAGAUUCAGACCGUUUGUUUGCGUAUUAUUUUUUACCUCUUAAAAUGAAAAAUACCUCUUAUUUAUUCAGAGAAUAAACCAAGUCUGAAAAAAAAAGAGACAUGCUUCCUUUUUUCCCUAUUUUCCCUAAACAGAUCGAUGCCUCUUAUUUUUCCACCCUUGCGUCUUCUUGCUUCGCGUCGUUACUCCUCAGCAUCGGACGACGCCAGGUCGCUGCCACCCUAAUCGCCGACGACACUGCACCCAACAAUGUCGCCUUCCUCUUCCGCCGCAAGGUCUGCCAUCUCUGUCUCGUUCUUCCGACCGCAGUAGCCAACCGCAACAGCCAACAGCAAGAUUGGGCGUUGAUUGAUGACUAUCGCUGAUAAACGGAUCGAGUUAUGCAUAAAUCUGAGUAUGUUUGCUUGAAUCGAAGAAAUGGGAGAAAGGAAGAGAACAUAUUUUCCCAAUGUUACAAUUGAAGGGGGUAAUGAGAAUGCAUUGGCGUUGGAAUGGAAUGGAAUUCCACUUGUGAAGAGUUUCUGUUUGUAUGUAAUUAGAUGCAUGGCUAGAUAGAAUUAUAGAUUUGUACAUAAAUGAAUAAUUAAUUAUUCAUACAUUUAAGUUUUAUUUGGAUUGUUGUUUAAUUUUGAUUUAUUUAA